UAUCUCUGUAGAGUCUGCAUAUCAAUAAGCGGAGGAAAAGAAACUAACAAGGAUUCCCUUAGUAACGGCGAGUGAAGCGGGAAGAGCUCAAAUUUGAAAUCUUCAAGGUUCUACCUUGACGAAUUGUAGUUUAAAGAGGUGUUUUCUGUUAGAUGAGUAGCAAAAGUUCCUUGGAAUGGGACAUCAUAGAGGGUGAGAAUCCCGUAUUUGGUUAUUCAUUCUAGCUUUGUGAUACACUUUCAAAGAGUCGGAUUGUUUGGGAAUGCAGUCCAAAAUGGGUGGUAAAUUUCAUCUAAAGCUAAAUAUUGGCGAGAGACCGAUAGCGAACAAGUACCGUGAGGGAAAGAUGAAAAGAACUUUGAAAAGAGAGUUAAACAGUACGUGAAAUUGUCAAAAGGGAAGCGUUUGACACCAGUGUUGUUUUUCCGAAAAUCAAUUACGAAUGGCUUGAUUUUGUGUUGUAUUGACCUUAUCAGCUUUCUUCACUUUUCUCGAGUCUUUCUUAAUGCACUUUUCGGUUAACAAGUCAACAUCAAUUUCUUUUGUUGUAAAAGAGUAUUCGGAAGGUGGCUUUCUUUUCGGAGAAAGUGUUUAUAGCCCUAUACUUCUACAAUCGGAGAGAUUGAGGUCUGCAGCGUAGAUCCUUCGGGGUUAGAUACACUUGUGCUAAGUUGUAGCUUUUCAUAGACAACUUGUUGACUAUGUUUAGUCAUGCGGCUUACUCGCUUGUGCUAUUUUACCUACGCUUAGGAUGUUGACUGAUAUGUAGUCGUA
rnacentral:rRNA from 1 species